AUUAGCCCUGAGCUAACAUCUGCCGCCAAUCCUCCUGUUUUCACUGAGGAAGACUGGCCCUGAGCUAACAUCGAUGCUCAUCUUCCUCUACUUUAUAGGCGGGAUGCCUGCCACAGCAAGGCUUGACAAGCAGUGUGCAGGAAGUGGCAGAUCUGAAGAGCUGAAAUGUAAUGUAAUAUGCUGACUCGUUUGCCUGAUGGAUGUGUGACUGCCCUCUGUUGGAUGAAAUUAGAUCUGCUCUUAUAUGUUAGACUGUCUUGCCCUCUAGUGGUUUGUGCAGAAGAUAGUAAUGAAGACAUUGGAGAAUACUGCAUGAAGAAUCAGUGACUGGGUCGCCCUCGGGUUUAUAGCUCUCAGUUUUGUCCACACUGAGCCUCCAUCAACUCAUCAAUCACAGCUCUGGCUUUCCUGCCCCGGCCCUGCUUCCUGUGGUGGUUUUAGCUGUGAAUCUCUGCUCUGGACGAACACGUCUUGUCUUUUCGACUCUGUUCUCAUUGCAACAAACACAGGAAAGGAGAAGAAAGGGACACAGCCCCCGGGCUCACUUGUGAGGAAGAUUAGCUCUGAGCUAACAUCUACCACCAAUCCUCCUCUUCUUUUGCUGAGGAAGACUGGCCCUGAGCUAACAUCUGUGCCCAUCUUCCUCUACUUUAUAUGUGGGACACCUACCACGGCAUGGCUUGACAAGCGGUGCCAUGUCUGCACCCAGGAUCCAAACUGGCGAACCCCGGGCUGCCAAAGCAGAACGUGCACACUUAACCAUUGCGCCACCAGGUCGGCCCCCAUAGAUAUUUUGAAUAUUGAGGGUCAGAGAUCUGAAUCUAAAUCUUGUUUCAGAUUUCCACAAUUUCCUUUAAAGGAGUAGAGCUAAUCUCCUGAGAAACAACAUAGGGUGGCAAUUUCCACAAAAUCUGUAAUAAUCUGAUUUCCUCUUAGAGCAUUCCAAAUAUGUAUAGGAUGAUAUCUGGAAGGUACUAUAGACCAUGAACUCUACGCACAAUAAAUUAAAAGAAACACAAAGUCUACAUUUUGUUUUAGUUUGUCUUUAUGGUAAAUGGUGUGAAAUGAUU
rnacentral:lncRNA from 1 species